rnacentral:misc_RNA from 1 species
AGAGCCAGAACCGGAGCCAACAAGACGCUUUCAGAAAAACGCCAAGGACCUAAACAGCAAGGGCGGCGGUCUUUUUGCUAUUGUUCGGAUCACGUGACCCGUAUGGGGCUGCCUGCAACCGCCGUCUGUUACCCUGUUUAUUGUGGCGUGAGGGGUCAAACGUUUUUACACCGUGGCUCUGAGUUUGGCUAUAGAAGAAGUACAGUAUUGUUAGUGGUAGUACGUAUCUACUGGUCUGUGGUUAGUGUUGCGAUUAUUUUCUUCUCAUAACUGUGUCGAUUCUGUUGCUGUAAGUUUUUCUAUUGAGUCAAUUUUAUUAUGUGAUGUUUUUUGGU